CUCGUGUUUGCUAUAAUGAACACUCGGAUUCAACGAGAUUUUAGGUCAGGCCCGACGACCUCGUUGAAUCCGAGUUCCACUGUGGUACCAAGCCCGAGGGGAUGGGAAACAUGCUCGCCAUCAAUACUUUGAAACACAAGUACAGUGAAAUACAAGAACACAGUGUAUCAUACACAUGUAUUCUUUUAUACAUGAUCAUCAAAACAAAAACAUAACUAUAAUAAUAUUAAUAGCACUGCCCCUUGCAACACUCGUCUACCACCUUCCUUUUAUGCUUACUUUUUUUUCACAUUCUUCCUUCCUUCCAACUCUCCUUACAUAUUACAUGUCAUAUUUCUUUCAUUUCAUAGCCCUCCUUUGACAGAUCCACAAACACCGCAGAACAAACAACAGAAACAAAC